rnacentral:rRNA from 1 species
GUCGAACGGCAGCGGGGGUAGCUUGCUACCUGCCGGCGAGUGGCGAACGGGUGAGUAAUACAUCGGAACGUGCCCUGUAGUGGGGGAUAACUAGUCGAAAGACUAGCUAAUACCGCAUACGACCUGAGGGUGAAAGUGGGGGACCGCAAGGCCUCAUGCUAUAGGAGCGGCCGAUGUCUGAUUAGCUAGUUGGUGGGGUAAAGGCCCACCAAGGCGACGAUCAGUAGCUGGUCUGAGAGGACGAUCAGCCACACUGGGACUGAGACACGGCCCAGACUCCUACGGGAGGCAGCAGUGGGGAAUUUUGGACAAUGGGGGCAACCCUGAUCCAGCAAUGCCGCGUGUGUGAAGAAGGCCUUCGGGUUGUAAGCACUUUUGUCCGGAAAAAAUCGCUUCGGUU